rnacentral:rRNA from 1 species
UACGAAGGGGGCUAGCGUUGUUCGGAAUUACUGGGCGUAAAGCGCACGUAGGCGGAUAUUUAAGUCAGGGGUGAAAUCCCAGAGCUCAACUCUGGAACUGCCUUUGAUACUGGGUAUCUUGAGUAUGGAAGAGGUGAGUGGAAUUCCGAGUGUAGAGGUGAAAAUUCGUAGAUAUUCGGAGGAACACCAGUGGCGAAGGCGGCUCACUGGUCCAUAACUGACGCUGAGGUGCGAAAGCGUGGGGGAGCAAACAGG